rnacentral:lncRNA from 1 species
GAACUUUUUGCUCUGUGAUGAGAGCAAAAUCACCUUCUGCUUGAGCAAUAGGCUGCUCUAUAACAAUAUCUCCCUGAUCUCAUUUCUCUGUAUCAUUCAAGAGGUUGUUUUCUGGUAGAAGCCUGAUUUAAUUUAGAGGUUGGAUAUCAAAGUCAUUAAUUUUCUUAAAACAUUUGGUAUGAUCUUAUACCAUGAUACAAGUGAUUAAAAAAUUACAAAUAUUUAAUAAAGUGUAUAUAGGGUAUAGUCAGUGUUAGAGUCAACUUUCCUAAAUUAAAGGUACAAGUGAAAGGAUAGGUCUUUACCUCAAAAAUUAAGUGCUAUUAUAUUGAUAAAUCUAUCGUAUGUUGAAUACGUGUAAGAUAAAAUAUACCUGGCUUCUCUUUUGGGAAAAUAGCACAGCUUUAUCUGAUACUGAUAUGACAAGAACUCAUAAUGUCAAGACACUUAUCCCGGGAACUUUAAGCUCUUCCUAUUAGAAAAAAAGAACAGAACAAUGUUUAUAGAAGGAAAAAUGCCUGGCAAAUUCUUUUUUAUGUACUCUAAGAAUGUAUGCUUUUAAAUGCCACAAGGGAAAAUAUUUUUGGCAAGUCAAAUUUGAGCAUAAAAUUAAUGAUCUGCCUAAGGUUUACAGGAAGCUACAUAAGAGAUGCAUGAUGUCCAAUGACUGAAAAGCAGUUUGGGUUGAAGAGAGUUCCAGGUUGCAUGAGAACCCUGAUUGUGCUGCAUUUUUUUCAACAUGCACAUUCAUACUUUUUUUUUUUUUUAGCUAGACAGUUGAUUUUUAGGAUGCAGUUCUCUGUUCUGUAAUGAGUGUUUG